rnacentral:lncRNA from 1 species
ACAGACGGACGGACGGACGGACGGGCGGACGGGCGGGCGGGCGGACGGACGGGGUUGGAGGUGAGAGAGUUCUCUAACGGAACAUCAUUAUUAAGUCUGUAAUAGUAUAAUAAUAAUAAUACUCAUUAAAGUGGAACCGACCAAGUGUUUUAACUACUUUGCAGAUAUGAAAUAAAUAGACAAUCACAAUAUCAGUAAAAAAAAACAAAAUAAAUCCCAGUUUACGCUAUAAAAACCAACUUUAUAACAUUCCAUGAUGUAGAGUAAGGCAUUGUUGGCAGAACAGAUGAAUGCAGUUCAAAUGCAUGAUUAAUAGAAUUCACCAAUACAUUUCUUGGUCGUUCCCAAAAAACAUAUUGCUAUCAGGUUGUAAAUCAACAGCUGGCCUGCUACAUUGUUUGCUGCCUUCCCAUUCGGGAUGCAUUGUUUCAGUUUCAAUGAAACCAAAAAACAUACUUAAGUUAUAAAGGCUGGGAAUGUCAAUACAAUCAAACUAGCAAAGGGCAACGAUCACAAGUCAGUGUUAACGUGGCUAAUAGGCUAACGUAUCUAUUUAUGUAGAAAGCUAAAAACACAGAGGCUAACGUUAGCUAGCUAGCUGUUAGGAGGAUGUCAUGUCAGUGGAGGAGAGGGUGAGUGACUGACUGUUUCCCCCUCAUAUUGUUUUUCGGUGGCUACACACAGCUAGAGAAUGCAGGUGUAAUUUCGUUAGCUAGCAAGAAAUGUGAAUCGCUUCGCUAGCUAGCUAUGUUGAAGUUGAACGACUGCUUAUCGAGUUAGCAUAUCUCUUGCGUUUCGCAAAUUUACUCUUGUCUAUCUACUCUGAUUUCAGAGCACUCUCGUCUGAGUGUGCCAGAGCGCAGAAUAACUGAUGAAUUUACCAAUAACUAAUUUACGAACGCGCAAAACCCACUGAAUAUGACCGGGGUCGGUAAACGUCGGCAAAAAAAAGUCAUAAUUAGUCAAGGACGUUCUAGAUAACAUGUAAACAGCUUAACCAGCUCUGCUAGGGAGAGUAAAACGGUCACACUGAGGUGUUCUCUCAUUCGUUCUCCGGAAAUAGAUAGCUAACAAGCUAGCCAACUUUUGCCAGUUAGCUUGGGUGCUUGGUUGGGACAAGCAUGCAUUGGCAGGCAAGCUGCAGAAGGCUAGCAUUAGUUCUUCAUCUGGCUAGCAUUAGUUAUUGAUCUGGCUAGCAUUAGUUGUUGAUCUGGCUAGCAUUAGUUGUUGAUCUGGCUAGCAUUAGUUGUUGAUCUGGCUAGCAUUAGUUAUUGAUCUGGCUAGCAUUAGUUGUUGAUCUGGCUAGCAUUAGUUGUUGAUCUGGCUAGCAUUAGUUGUUGAUCUGGCUAGCAUUAGUUAUUGAUCUGGCUAGCAUUAGUUGUUGAUCUGGCUAGCAUUAGUUGUUGAUCUGGCUAGCAUUAGUUGUUGAUCUGGCUAGCAUUAGUUGUUGAUCUGGAUAGCAUUAGUUGUUGAUCUGGCUAGCAUUAGUUGUUGAUCUGGAUAGCAUUAGUUAUUCAUCUGGCUAGCAUUAGUUGUUGAUCUGGCUAGCAUUAGUUGUUGAUCUGGCUAGCAUUAGUUGUUGAUCUGGCUAGCAUUAGUUGUUGAUCUGGAUAACAUUAGUUAUUCAUCUGGCUAGCAUUAGUUGUUGAUCUGGCUAGCAUUAGUUGUUGAUCUGGCUAGCAUUAGUUGUUGAUCUGGCUAGCAUUAGUUGUUGAUCUGGCUAGCAUUAGUUGUUGAUCUGGCUAGCAUUAGUUGUUGAUCUGGCUAGCAUUAGUUGUUGAUCUGGCUAGCAUUAGUUAUUGAUCUGGCUAGCAUUAGUUGUUCAUCUGGCUAGCAUUAGUUGUUGAUCUGGCUAGCAUUAGUUGUUGAUCUGGCUAGCAUUAGUUGUUGAUCUGGAUAGCAUUAGUUAUUGAUCUGGCUAGCAUUAGUUAUUCAUCUGGCUAGCAUUAGUUGUUGAUCUGGCUAGCAUUAGUUGUUGAUCUGGCUAGCAUUAGUUGUUGAUCUGGCUAGCAUUAGUUGUUGAUCUGGCUAGCAUUAGUUGUUGAUCUGGCUAGCAUUAGUUGUUGAUCUGGCUAGCAUUAGUUGUUGAUCUGGCUAGCAUUAGUUGUUGAUCUGGCUAGCAUUAGUUAUUGAUCUGGCUAGCAUUAGUUAUUGAUCUUGUUGUUGAUGUGUAUAACAGAGAGAGAGAGUCUACCUUUUCAUGGUUAUUGAUGUGUAUAACUGAGAGAGAGUCUGCCUUUUCAUGGUUAUUGAUGUGUAUAACUGAGGGAGAGAGAGUCUACCUUUUCAUGGUUAUUGAUGUGUAUAACUGAGAGAGAGUCUACCUUUUCAUGGUUAUUGAUGUGUAUAACAGAGAGAGAGAGAGAGAGUCUACCUUUUCAUGGUUAUUGAUGUGUAUAACUGAGAGAGAGUCUACCUUUUCAUGGUUAUUGAUGUGUAUAACUGAGGGAGAGAGUCUACCUUUUCAUGGUUAUUGAUGUGUAUAACUGAGAGAGAAGAGAGAGUCUACCUUUUCAUGGUUAUUGAUGUGUAUAACUGAGAGAGAGAGAGAGAGUCUACCUUUUCAUGGUUGUUGAUGUGUAUAACUGAGAGAGAGUCUACCUUUUCAUGGUUAUUGAUGUGUAUAACUGAGGAGAGAGAGAGAGUCUACCUUUUCAUGGUUAUUGAUGUGUAUAACUGAGAGAGAGAGUCUACCUUUUCAUGGUUAUUGAUGUGUAUAACUGAGAGAGAGAGAGAGUCUACCUUUUCAUGGUUGUUGAUGUGUAUAACUGAGAGAGAGAGAGUCUACCUUUUCAUGGUUAUUGAUGUGUAUAACUGAGAGAGAGAGUCUACCUUUUCAUGGUUGUUUGACCAAUAGGACUGGCAAGUUCCCAAACGUAAGAGGACUCUCCCGUGGUAUUUACAUAUUUGCAGAAAUCCAUUCAGGUGUGUAUUUUGUGGCUUUUGCCGAAUGCAUUCUAAUGUCUCGCUGUUGCAAAUACCUGUAAACACACAGUCCAGUUCAAAGUGAAUGAUGGCAGGCCCGUGUGGCAAAUGGCUUUGUUUGCAUAUAGGUCCUACCGUACCUCUGAUUGGCUAAAAGGCCCACCAAUCUGCGUAGACUCCGGUCCUGGACGAGACAGAUGUUUUUAUUAGGUUUUAUGUACUGCAGUGUCUGUUAAUUGUCCAAACGCACAGCCGCUUUCCCACUCUAUAUAUUACUACAGAAUUUUCACAAAAUGCCUUCCUAUAUACGCAAUUCCCUAAACAUUCUACGAAUGUAUUAAAAAUGUUAAAAAGACAAUAUCUAAGCGCUCGCUUGUCAGAAAAUGUGAAGAAAAAAAAAGAAAAAAACACAUAGCAUAUUCUUCCUGGGGGUGAAUAUGAACAG